rnacentral:lncRNA from 1 species
CGCCGCCCAACUCCUUUCUCCUUUCCCCGCAGGACUACCUUUCCUCGAGUGACAGCCCUGCUCUCCUCAGGAACUCACCCCUGGCUACAGAGUGCGGUGGCGCCAGCACAGAGCUCUGCUCAACGUCCCUCUGUGCUUUCACGAUGCUGAUGGAUUAUGAAGUCCACAGACAGCAAGGGCAGUAUCACUGCAGUGGCAGUCGCAGAUGGACUUUCAGUCGCCUCUAGGAGCUCCACCCCACAGAAACACAGACAGCAGCCAGUGGAAAUGUUCAGCUGAGUGUGAGGUGCCUGCACUGUGGGCCCAAGCCAGGAGCCCUGCCUGGUGAAGAGUAGCAGGUGGGAGCUCACAGGGAAGAGAGACUGAAAUUCUUUCCAUAUAUCCCCUGCUGUGUGCUGGAGGCAUCAGGGAAGUGACCAGGUCCCUUUGUUCCUUCUGCAGCCCAAGGGCAAUAAGGGUGGUAUUGCUGCAGCUGCAAUGGCAGAGGGGCUGUGGGUUGCCUCUGGGAUUUCCUCCCCAGAGAAGCACACAGCCAACACUGACUAAAAUGUUCAGGCAGGGCCAGGGUGGCUGUGCUCUGCCCAGUGAA